UUAGAGAUGAUCAUAUAUAUAGCUUUGAUUUGAUGCACAGGUGGGUGUCAGCCUGAUGGCCUUUCAGCAACUGGGAGGAAUAAACGUGUUAGGCCUCUAUACAAGCUAUAUCUUUUCAUCAGCAGAUACCAAUCACAUUAUUCGGGGCCCUUCUCGUGGAUAGGUGUGGAAGGAGAACCCUUCUACUGGUGUCUUCAUCUGGCACAUUUGUGGGCUGCUUUCUUACUGGGCUAUCAUUCUACUUUAAGGCAUACUAUGGGGCAUACUCAAUUUGAAUGGGACCUGUUCCUUG